rnacentral:misc_RNA from 1 species
AACGCACCUUGCACUCUUUGGUAUUCCGAAGAGUAUGUCUGUUUGAGUGUCAUGAAACUCUCAAACCCCCCUGUUUUGUAAUGAGAUGGGUUGUGGGUUUGGACUGUGGCUGCUUGCUGGCUUUCUAAGUCGGCUCAGCUGAAAUAUACGAGCGACCGCCUGAAUAAUAAACGGCUUGUACUCGGCGUAAUAACUAUUUCGCUGAGGACGUUUUCCAUUCUAAUGGUGCUUCUAAUGCGGUUAUUAAAUUAAUCACCUUAAGCUUUAGACCUCAAAUCAGUCAGGACUACCCGCUGAACUUAA